GAACCUAAGGGCAGCUUAGCCCUGACUGCCGGCCCAUUGGGUGGAGAUGGAGAUUUGGCUACUCUGCUUGGCUUUGGUGGGGAUUCCCUUCAUUCCUGACUUUUUUUUAGGUCCAUCCUUUCUUAACAAGAGCUUGAAAAGAGAAAUAACCUCCACAGGAGAGGAGACCUGUUGGGGGUCAAGGAUAUUUGGGUAUCUUGAGUCUCUGUUAGAAAUUCUUAAUCAAAUUCUCAAGGUUUAUUUUUAAGAGACAAUAGAAUGCCAAGUGCCCAAGACUGAAUCCUAAUUU
rnacentral:snRNA from 1 species